UAUCGUUUCCUUUAUUCGUAUCACCGAUUGAAGCAUAUUGGAAGUGUGGGUUGACCUGACUGCACUUGCAUUCAAAGUAGUGAUUAACGUUGUAUGUUCGGCAGUACAACGUUUCAUUAAGUGCCUUGGUUCGUCUUUGUGCUAAAACAAAUACGGUAUCACUAAUUAACCAUCGAGAUUAACGAGUUUUCGAUGACUGUUGAAGUCUUGAGUAAACGAAAGUCGACAGUUAUGGUUUGCAGGGCGGACAUGCCGGAACAUAAAUGCUGGUUAGUUCAUUGUCAUGUCAGCCCGACUUCGGUUGUUGCAUUUUUCGCUGGUAGUGAAACUACACACUGAAAAUUUUGCGCAAGUACUUUUGUUUGCAUAUCAUGGUUUCAUAGCAACUGGGUUUUUCUUUUUAUAGGUGCUUGGACUAUCUUGCAUCGGUGGAUAUGAAAAUAGUGGUAACCUACCCUACGAAACAGCUGUUUGCACAUAAGCUUAACAGUUCCCUGUGAGAUGCUGUGAAAGUCAGCAGGGAAGUGCGAUGUAGAAGAAACGACUGCCAGAAGCUUGCUAAGGAACCGCACAACCUGUGUGGGCAGCAGACAAAAUAUUCAUCAAACGAAGUUUUGCACCAAAGUUAUGAGAGCAGCACAGAUGUUGUUUUAGCGUAAUGGAGUGAUGGAAGUGCUGCGCCAAUCAUGGAGUGCUUAGCAGUCGCCUGCUCGACCAGGUAAGGUCGUGUGUCACGAGAAAACGCCUGUCACAUUGAUGUAUUUUCACAGCGAAAGCUGUUACAUCCUCAUUUCCCUGAGAUCCUGGCAGCGUCCGCUAGAGCCCUGUGCAGAUAAGAUUUUUAGCAUCCGCGUACAUCUUAUCCGAUCCGCACCGUUGCAUACACAACCGUUUAGAUCCGCAAGUUUCGAAGGACGCGUAAACACAGCCGGAAGAAUGUUGGUAUAAUUUCGGAUGCCUCCAUGCUCUCAUGGAAGGACUCAUGGCGACAAGCGAAGGUAAACCUUUCAACAAACGCGAUAUGGAGAGACUUCUGGAACGCUUCCUCACCGGUGCUCGUGUGGACGCCAAAAUGCCUUCUCUCCCGUCUUGGCCGUGCAUGGUCAAAGGUGAACCCGGACAUGUGCUCGCUGUCGGUGCGCAAUACAAAUAAAUUGCUAGUAGAAAAAUUACAGCAUGCGGUAUAUCUGCAUCCGACCUCGAGCCAUCCGAUCCGCACACCGCAGAAAGUGAUAAAUUCUCAUCCGAAUCCGCAAGUAUCUUACGGAUAUCCGCUUCCAUCCGCGGAUGGUGCAGGGCUCUAGCGUCCACAUCAGGUAGUGACGCGCAAACAGAUUUUCAGCUGUUGCUGCAAUUUGUGUUGUGUAGCUGUAACAGUUCUGUGAUUUUUGUACGUGCAGCUUCUUUUCUUUGUGUCUCUCAGAUCAGUGUUGAUACAGCUUUUGCUCUUAUGUGGCCAGACAAGCAUCCCGUGAAAGAGUGUGCAUAGCCACUAAACAAACUAGUUAGAACUAGCAGGCUACAUAAUGCUUUCUGACAUGUUUUGUUCUAUUUUCUAGCCACAGUGAGUCAUUGGAGGCAGUGCUGCAGCACCAACAAUCACUCAUUAGAAGAAAGGAAUGAGGUGGCCAUCAACACCCUGCUGCCAGUUCAACACUCCUCAGUCAAAACACAAGAUGCCUGCUUGGCGGCAAAGUCAAUCCAGUUUUAGACAAGAGUUUUGUACCGUAGACUUCGUGUGUGGUUUACUGCAAAUAAAUGUUUAUGCUGA